GACGAACGCUGGCGGCGUGCCUAAUACAUGCAAGUUGAGCGCUGAAGGUUGGUACUUGUACCAACUGGAUGAGCAGCGAACGGGUGAGUAACGCGUGGGGAAUCUGCCUUUGAGCGGGGGACAACAUUUGGAAACGAAUGCUAAUACCGCAUAAAAACUUUAAACACAAGUUUUAAGUUUGAAAGAUGCAAUUGCAUCACUCAAAGAUGAUCCCGCGUUGUAUUAGCUAGUUGGUGAGGUGAAGGCUCACCAAGGCGAUGAUACAUAGCCGACCUGAGAGGGUGAUCGGCCACAUUGGGACUGAGACACGGCCCAAACUCCUACGGGAGGCAGCAGUAGGGAAUCUUCGGCAAUGGACGAAAGUCUGACCGAGCAACGCCGCGUGAGUGAAGAAGGUUUUCGGAUCGUAAAACUCUGUUGGUAGAGAAGAACGUUGGUGAGAGUGGAAAGCUCAUCAAGUGACGGUAACUACCCAGAAAGGGACGGCUAACUACGUG
rnacentral:rRNA from 1 species